rnacentral:rRNA from 1 species
GACGAACGCUGGCGGCGUGCUUAACACAUGCAAGUCGAACGGAAAGGCCCUGCUUUUGUGGGGUGCUCGAGUGGCGAACGGGUGAGUAACACGUGAGUAACCUGCCCUUGACUUUGGGAUAACUUCAGGAAACUGGGGCUAAUACCGGAUAGGAGCUCCUGCUGCAUGGUGGGGGUUGGAAAGUUUCGGCGGUUGGGGAUGGACUCGCGGCUUAUCAGCUUGUUGGUGGGGUAGUGGCUUACCAAGGCUUUGACGGGUAGCCGGCCUGAGAGGGUGACCGGCCACAUUGGUACUGAGAGACGGCCCAGACUCCUACGGGAGGCAGCAGUGGGGAAUAUUGCACAAUGGGCGGAAGCCUGAUGCAGCAACGCCGCGUUCGUGAUGACGGCCUUCGGGUUGUAAACCGCUUUCGCCUGUGACGAAGCGUGAGUGACGGUAAUGGGUAAAGAAGCACCGGCUAACUACGUG